UCAUAUGUCGCUCUAUCACAUGUGAUCAUUUUCAUGUUAUCAUCCCAUCCAAAACCACUUUCACCCCGAAUUGUGCAUAUAAUCUGCCACUGGUUUUUUACAGUCCUCAAAUGAUUUUCCACAUGCUUCGCAUCGCAUUGGACUUGAAAUCUUUCAGAAAUAGCUUCGGCAACUCAAUUAAUAGAAACUAUUUUGAAAGUAUUAGAAGGCUUAUUUCCUCUCUGG
rnacentral:lncRNA from 1 species